rnacentral:snoRNA from 1 species
AAAUCAUUUCAAAGAGGGCUUGUGUGAGUGUGAAACCAAGAGUUCUUAAUGUUGUGGUGUCACUGAAGUUCUGCACAGAAUGCCCCUGUACUCAGUAUUGCUAUGCUUUCCCGUAGAGACAGGA